UACGUAGGGACCGAGCGUUGUCCGGAUUCAUUGGGACGUAAAGAGCUCGUAGGCGGCUGUUCUAAGUCGAAACGUGAAAACUCGGGGCUCAAACUCCCGGAGCCUGGCGUUCGAUACUGGAUGGCUAAGAGUCUGGUAGGGGGGAUCUGGAAUUCCGUGGUGUAGCGGUGGAAUGCGACAGAUAUCAGGAGGAACGACCAGCGGCGAAGGCGGCGCUCCUGGGGCCGGUACUGACGCUAAGGAGCGAAAGCGUGGGUAGCAAACAGG
rnacentral:rRNA from 1 species